UUCGUGAUUAAGAUUUUGAUUAUGUUGUUGCCAUAUUGAUUUAACUGUUUAAUGCUUUUAGGGAAUAGACGGCAUUCCUGGACCACAAGGAGAGAAGGUUUGUUCUGGUUAGCUAAUGGUAACAUGUCAGGUCAGUGUAAUGUGUAAAUCUAACAUUUUUUUUUUUUUGUAACAUAUAGGGUCUAGAGGGUGGAAGCAUGGUAAUACCUGGACCCAAAGGUCAUAAGGUCAGAAUUAUCAACUUUUGCUUUCUCUUAAAAACAUGUCUGUGACCUACAGAAAAUGAAUGUGCAAGGUAAUCCAUUUGAUUUUAGUUUUUAAUAAUGGUCUCUUUAAUCUGAUUUUAUGAACUCUUAAAUGUAUUACUGGGGCUCUGCUGUAGGGGGAGAGGGGACCACCUGGUGUACAAGGACAAAAAGGCAUAAAGUUAUUUGUAUCAGGACCAAAGGAGCUUAAGGUAACAUGCCCCUCACUUAAAAGUCAUCCAUUGUAAUUUUUAUGUGUUUUUGCCCAAUAUAUACUGUUGUACUCUGUAAUCCAAAUGAAUGAAUUGGAGUUUUCUGAAAAGUCACCCUCUUUUUGGUUUCAGGGUGACCUUGGGGAUCCUGGAGACAUUGGAUGUCCUGGCCCAGCUGGUUUCCGUGGUCGUCCUGGUCCUAAGGGGGAGAAAGGGGAAAUUGGGUGGCCUGGGGGUCCGGUAAAUAACUAAAUUGAGAGAGAGAGAGAGAGAGAGAGAGAGAGAGAGAGAGAACAACUCAAGUUCUCCCAAUUUGUACUUAAAUCUAUUCACAUUAAGUUCAAAUGUUUGGCAUAAAACAAGAUUUUAAAAAGAUUUUAUUUACUUGACAACUAGUUUCAUUGGUUUCAGUUUCAUUGGUUUGGAUGCCAUUCAUUCAUUUAUUCAUUCAUUUAUUCAUUCAUUCAUUCAUUUUUAAUCUUGAAUCUUUAUUGGAAGGAUUGCUUACAAAUAUUUUAUAUAAAAAUUAAAUUAUGUGUAAUAUAAUUAAAUAUUAAUAUAAUAUAAAAAAUGUGUUUGUACACACAAAAUGCGCUCUUGUCUUAGGACAAUUUUAAUGNUAUAUAUAUAUAUAUAUAUAUAUAUAUAUAUAUAUGCACAUACAUACACUAGUCAAUAUUUGAAGUGGAUCAAAACCUUGCAUCAAAGUUGUCCUAAAACCUAAAACCAAAAUGCGCUCUUGUCUUAGGACAAUUUUAAUGAACUUUUUUGAUCCACUUCACAUGUUGACUACUGUAUAUAUGGAUUUUGAGUAUUAUAAUUUAGGUUUUAUUUGAUUUAUUUAUUUAUUUUUU
ensembl:lncRNA